CAAUUGGAUAAAAUAUUCAAUUCAAAUUUAGUCAACAAGGAAAAUAAAAUAAAAAGAGAAAUACACAUUCUUCCCAAACAGAAAAGUAUAGGUCUUUCUCGUGAAUUCUCUAGAGCAUUUUGGAAGAGCUUUUGAAACGUGAUAUUCACGUGUAAUACGUUAUACUCUUUUCUCAAAACAAUAAUAUUUUAAUUUAUUUUUUUGUUAAUUACCAGGUUUCAUAUCGUGGAUUUUGGCUCCCGGUUUUUGUUUGUCUGUUUUCUCCUCCAAGCGUUUUCAGGUGUAUUUUUUCAUGG
rnacentral:misc_RNA from 1 species